CCUACGGGUGGCAGCAGUCGAGAAUCAUUCUCAAUGGCGGAAACCCUGAUGGUGCGACGCCGCGUGAGGGAUGAAGGUCUUCGGGUGGUAAACCCCUGUCAUGUGGGAGCAAAUUAAAAAGAUAGUACCACGAGAGGAAUAGACGGCUAACUCUGUGCCAGCAGCCGCGGUAAUCCAGAGGUCUCAAGCGUUGUCGGGCAGCACUGGGCGUAAGGGGUGGGUUGUCGGGUUCGUAUGUCGUGUGUGAAAGGCGCGGGCUCAACGGGCGGACGGCACAUGAUACUGCGAGACUAGAGUAUUGGAGCGGGAACAGGAAUGUGCGGUGUAGCAGUGAAAUGCGUAGAUAUC
rnacentral:rRNA from 1 species